GCUUAUGAAGAGAACCUUAAAAUUGUCUAUUGCCCUUAUAUUAAUGAAAUCGUUUUAGCAACUAUACACAUUUUGGGCCGUAACAUAUUUUAUGAAAUCUAGGCAUAUAUUAAUAUGUUAAAAUACCAAUUUAAAGGCACACAUAUUUAUGCACUUUUCUGCAUAUUGCAAACACAUUAUAUUAAAUGAUCCACUUUCACCGAGACUGUAUGAGCAGCUGCGUUGCUUGGUAAAUCGAUGUUGUCCCACUCCGUAUGUAAGUUUUUCUCGCUGUCGGUCGCUUUCAACGCCAAUCCCAACGAUGCUGUUCUACCCGCACAGUGUGGAAUGUUAAGUGUUACUGGCACUAGAAAUUCAAGCCCUUGUGGACCACACAUUACUAAGGGAGACAACAUUGUUUCACCUACGAAUAAAUAUCAAAUGCAAGUUAGAUUGAUGAUAUACACAUGCAUACAAUUUAAUUUUUGACAGUUUGUAUUACUAAAACUUUACUUUAUUUACAUUGCUACAAAAAUUUGACAUAUUCUUUCGAAUAACAACAUCUUAGGUAUACGAAGUACAUACAUGUUUUUAUUAAAUGGUUAACACGAAAAAUCAAACGCCAAUGGCACAAUCUUAAUUAGAAAUAAGAAAUCUGCAGUUAUCGUGUCACUAUGCGAAAAUACAUUGAUUAGUACAGAUAAUAAAAACUGAAUUCUCUAUUUCUCUAAAACAAAAAUUAAAAUUGAAAUGGCAUUUAUUGGCGAUAUGUCCAUGACUCAAGCAUUCUUAACAUAGGCAUUGGAAGUCAUUCCACAAAACCAGUGCGAAAAGAUUUAAUUACUUCUGAACGGCUGAAGCAAAUGCAUUGUAAUAUUCUUUCGGAUCGAUCUAAAAUUAUAUAAGUAGUUCAGAUUCCUUGCGAUUCGAUUGUUUUGUGCUACUUCUUUCUAUAUUCAGAUAUAUAGUUAUUUUCAUAUGUACUUCGUUUUUUAUGGAUGUUACUACUCAUAAUAUUAUCACUUUUAUAUACAUAUGUAGAUAUAUUGUAAGUAUAAACGAAAUAAAGAGGUGUAAAGGCGUAUCGCAUGUAUUGAAAAAGGAAAACAACAAUAAUUACAGUGCCAAAUUCAUGCAUGUUGCAAACUUUGCAAAGGCUGCGAUGGAUUAGAUGGGAAUUUUUGCUUGGGGACUUCAACUAAUUCCAUAAAACUUAUUUUUCAAAUCAAUAACUACGUAUUAAAAUGUUUAUCAUAAAUAUUGUUAUUCUGUUUCAUAAUUUACCCCCUACGAAAGAAAUGAUGUUUAUGGUACAUACAUUCAAUUUUUUUGCAAAUUUAUUAUAAUUAUUAAUUGCAAUUGUCAGUGUAAAUGUAAAUGUAUCUACUAAUAAUUUUCUAGUGUUAAUUUGUUAAUAAUUAAAUAAGUAUAAUAUACAUGCACAUAUGUAUAUAACAGCUGUUUAAGUCUAUAAAUAUUUAUUACCAAUUGCAUGCAGUAAUAUGUAGUAAUGCGAAAUUGUGCGAGAUAGUUAUACAAGAAGCAAUAAAUAAAGUAGGUCGUGUCGCAAACGAA